AAACUGGAGGAAGGAAUUAAAGACAUAGCAGAAAUUUAGAAGUUAGAAAACAGAAACUAAAGAAAUAAUAAGUAAUCGUUUUUUACAAAUACACAAAAUGGUGCCAUCUAUUUUAUUCCAAGCCCAGUGCAGUGGAUUUGUGUGUUAGCACAGUAGGGAAGAUGGAAGUGGGUCUCAGGAACCGAGAGAGCCUCACGUGCCUUCUGGGAGCGCACCUGGAGAGCACGGAGAGAAAUCCCUGUGACCAAGUGGGAUUUAUCCCAGGAGUGCAAGGAUGGCUGAAAACCCAGUCAUUAGGUAAAAGAGGAAAACAAAUCCAGGAUCAUUUUCAUGAACACCAAAAGACUAUUUGAGAAAAAAUCAAACCUAUUCCUGAUGAAAAUUUCUCAAGAAACCAGGACUAGAAGGACACUUCCUUAGCUUGAUACAGGGUCUCAAAGUAGCUGCCUGCUGUAUGCUCACAAUGAGCCAGACGUCUAGAUUCACAAACAGGACAGGAGUCUCCCUGCUCCUGCCUGGCCUGCCCCUGCAGGUACCAAGGGCACAGUGAAGAAGGAGCGAGCAGUGAAGGAAGAGGGGCUGCCAGUUUUGUUGGAGACAGAGACAGCUAAGCUGAGUUAUGGGUCAAGUGCAGGGCUUCCCUCUACCCUCCUUUCACGUGCACAAAACUGCAAAAAUGUGUAAGUGUACUUGUGUAAAUGGAGCAAAUUUUUGUGGAAAACUCUUUAAAAGAGUUUUACUGCAGAACAUAAAAGAUGAUGUGAAUGGUGACACACACUGUUUCUGGUUGGGAGAUGAAAUGUCAUAAAGAUAAACAUUUUCUCAAGUGUGAAUUCAUUGUAAUCUUCGUAAAAAUAUAAACAAUUUUUAAAUAAGCCUGGAUAGGCAAUUUUAAAGUCCAUAUAGAACCAUAAAUCUGCAAGACUAGUCAAUGCUUUAUCUUAAAGCCUUGAGGUGGGAGGGUGUGCUCCCCAUUGCAUUCCUGUGAAAACAGCAUGGCUGGGCCCAGGGCAGAUUGCAAGGUGCUGGGCGGGGGUGAGGCGAGGGCCAGGGCAGCCACUUAACAAGCACUGAUGUCUCCCCUCACCCCUUACAAAAAUAAAUUCCAGAUAGAUUAACAAGCUAGGAAAGUUUGGGAGAUAUAUUUUAUAAUUUGGGGGCUGGGGAGAUGUUGUGAAGCUACGUGGCAAACCCAGAAUACGUAAAAGCAAGACUGAUAAAAUAGUUGCAUAAAACUGAGAUGGAUUUAUGUGAGAAAACUGUCUAUUUUUUAACUAUAAAGUUAAAUUUUGAGUGUUAGCACAUGAGAAAGUUUUUCACACAUAGUUAAAAGGGUCUUAUAUUCAGAAUAUGUAGGGAAUAUCUGCAAAUCAGUUAAGGAAAAGAUAAAUAAAGCAGGGUCAAGGUGCUCGCUGCCUGAAUCCGUGUGGUGCCUAUCACCAUGAAGUUCAAUCCCUUUGUGACUUCGGACUGAAGCAAAAACUGCAAACGCCACCUUAAUGCCCCCUCACACAUGCGCAGGAAAAUCAUGUCGUCCCUGCUCUCCAAGGAGCUGCCUCAGAAGUACAAUGUUUGCUCCAUGCCCAUCCACAAGGACGACAAAGUCCAGGUGGUUCAAGGACACAACAAAGGUUAGAAAAUCGGCAAGGUAUUCCAGGUGUACAGAAAGAAAUAUGUCAUCUACAUUAAGUGGGUGUAGCAUGAGAAGGCUACUGGCACAACCGUCCAUAUGGGCAUUCACCCAAGCAAGGUGGUUAUCACCAGGCUAAAACUGGACAAAGAUUGGAAAAAAAUUCUUGAACGCAAAGCCAAGUCUCAACAAGUUGGAAAAGAGAAAGGCAAAUACAAGGAAGAACUUAUUGAGAAAAUGCAGAAAUGAAUAUAAUCUUUGUGCAACCAUAGUUUAACUGUAGAUUUUUAGCCUAGUAUGUGUUUCUUUGGAACUGUUCAAAAAUAUCUCUGGAACAUUCCAUUUCCCUCCUGUUUUGUUGUUAACCUGUGGCUCCCUGUAAGUCUACUUUUGAGAUUUUGAUUAAUAAUUUUAUAAAUAAAAAUUGGAAAUGUUUCCUAACAAAAACCAGGGUUAAGACAUGGUGGGCCAUACAUAGAUUAAAACAAUAUACAUGCCCAGUAAAAAGGAAGGGAUGCCUGAACCUCGCUGAUGACCUGAGAAGUGGAGAUUAGACUCUGUGGGCCCGUUAGGAUGUUAAAGGACUGGGGUCGUCCUGCUGUGGCCAGAGUGUUGGCAACUUGUCCAGCCUGUGUGCCCUUUACCACUCUCAUCCUACAGUGUGUCCUGAAGAGAUGCGUGUAUAGCCCCCGUGGACAUGAGCACAGUGACUGCAGCACUGUCACAGCAAAAGUGAGAAACAGCUUAAUGCAGCAUCAGCAGAGUGCACAUAUGUGUUAAGGAAUGCCAUGCAACUGUUGAACAAGCAAAACUCUGGUUAGAUUGUUAAUAUUGCACAGUGAAUAGCACACGGUGCAGAGCAACCACAUUCUGGUGCCAUUUCUAUUUUUAAAGAAACAACUAGUGUGGGAGUAUAGAAAGGAUGUGCAGAGGCCAGUCAAUCCUGGGCAGGGUGUACCCUGGGGAGGUGUGUACCAGGGCAGGGUGCAGGCCCAUCACAGGAGGUGGUGUGUGAACAGUGGCUUCCAGGCCUGCUGCCUCCUGGGAUCACAGGAUACAGCUUACGGAUGCUGUGUUUAUACAUUAUCUUCAAUCUCCCUAAGGUUUUACAUUAAGUCAUAAUUGUGAUACUUUCCCCUCCCCUCACAGGGUAGGGACCCCACCCAAUGGCAUAGUCGACCUAGAUCCUUCUAGGGUAAGGAGGGCAAGGCUGUGCUUGAUCUGUCCGUUUGCCCAUCAUUGGGCAGUGGCAUUGCCUCUGGAUUUUGCCACGGUAGACGUAAAAUGUCCUUUUCCACGCAGGCACUUGGAUUUCAGGUCAAUUCCCAGGACCACAGUGUACUUGUGAUUCUCAGGGCUCUUGCUGUUGCUUUCCCAAAACCAUUCCUGCCAGUCCUGUGGCCACCUCUCUCAGCCAGUGUGACAUUAGCGUCAUGGAUGCAAAGUUAGAGCUUAUUGUCAUUCUAAUUUGCAUUUCUUUAAGUGCUUGGGAAUUUGAACCUCUUCCCUUAUGCUUGUCUGCCUGGAUUGGCUCUCUGGAAAUUGCCCCUGUCUUAGUUGGGUUAGUUAUGUUCUCGUCUGUCAGUGCAUAUUUCUGUUGGCUGGCAGUGCUGGCCAUCUGUGAGACUAAUGUCUCUCGUCUCCUUUUUUGUUGUCAAGGAUGGCAUUAGGAGCGCUGGUUCACUGUCCAUUCUCACUGGUGCUCACUAAGGCUCGGUCCUCUCCAAGUGGUCCGGACCUGCCCUCCAUGAGCAAGAGAAACAGGACUGGCUUGGGAGUGUCCUGCUCGAGUGGACAUGGGACACUACAGUUUUCAGUACAACAGGCAAACUGCUUGUCCAGUGUAUCUUAUGACAAUGGAAAUUCCUUUUCAAAAUGACAUAUAAUUGCUAGAAGUUGGCCACACAUAUAACUUGACUUGUACU